AUUUGAGAUCUUUCUCAAGCUCCCUUCUUUGGUCUUGUUUCUUUUUUCUUGUUGUUGUCCUUUUUCUUGCCAUUAUAUUCGAGUCCCAAAUCAGCAAUAUAAAUUGAUUAAUCUAUAUGUCUCAGAAAAGUAGAUAUAAGACGACAUUGACAUGUUCAGUAUUUGAUUGAAUCUUGCUCAAGAAUGCUCUGAAGGAGAUCCUACUGGUCCCUCUCAGAUCUUUUAUUCCCUUUUAGCAACGAAGACAACAUGAUGAUUUUCUUGUCAGUGAGAAGCCAUUCUUUUUCAGAUCUCCAAAUGCCUUGAUCAAUCAAGCUGAUUCUCAACUUGGAGUGCUAGUGCAUAAUCAUCCUUGUCCAACUCAAGCAAUCUCCAGGCAAAAUCAAUACCAAACUUGCAUCGUGGUCUAAUUGCAUGCCAGAGAUGAUCUCUCUUCUUUUCCUUUUGCCGCUUUAUCUUUCCCUUUCUUUUUUACCGUCACUGCCUGCUGCAAAUUUCAGACAUUCCUGGCCAUGUUUGUGGCUCAAAGAUCCCAAAAGCCAGCUUGGACUCGUCAAUGGCCACCUCCACAUCUCAGAUGCCCUCCACGCCCCCUCUCUCUUUUCCUCAGAGCAAACGUUGAUCCUUGAGCUCGGCACAAUCCCCUCCUCCUCGAUCCUUUCGUUGCCUUGUUCCUAGGUAUGCUUUCCUUUAGAAAAGCAACAAACAAAGAUGCUCUCAUUCCCUUGCUGAACUCCUGGAAUCAAUGGGAACAACUUUGUCUGCACACUAUAUAACCAACACUAAUCUCAUAAUAGUUUUACUAGUUCCCUUUGUUUUCAUGUGAUUAUUCGCUUCUCGCACACACAGAAUCAUCCUCUGCUUAUUGCAACCUAGGAGUUUGUAUGGAGACUAUAGAGCUAAAGGUGGACAUGGUUGCAUUACAUGAGAAGAGAUUGAGGAAAUGUUUGUCCAAAGUGAAAGGCUCCUUGACAACAAGAUGCCAAAUAAUGUGGUUACUAUGUGAUGCGAUUUAUGAGACAAAUUGUUAAAGAAGUUGAAAUUAUCGAAAGAGAUUCACUACGAUCUAUAUUCACACAAGCAGAGUAUUCUCGAGAAGAAAUUGAUGAGGUGCGAUCGGAGUUGGCAGAAUGUAUACAAGAUCAUAUUUAUGAGUAGGUGCGUUCAAGUUUAUUUUUGCUUUCAUUGUCCACAGAGAAAUAGUAACAAGAUGUGUUUAUUACAACUAUUUGAACUUGGCGUCAUGGAUCUUAUUCAACCAUUACUCACAAGGUGGAUACAGGACAGUCGAGAUCAGUACACUAAGGAGCGUCUGGAUUCAGUAAUUGAUCAGUAUACUAAGCGUAUGGAUUCAGUAACUACUGUACUAUUUUGAGUAAACAGAUUGUUGGCUACUUUAGUAUUCAGCAUUCAGUAUUCAGUAAACAGAUUGUUGGCUAAACAGAUUGUAGCUGUUCAAAACAGAUUUUUUGUGCUCUUUUGUUUUAUAUGUGAAUAUCACUAUAUACUUUGAAACAGAAUUAGUGUAAAUUUUGAUAUUUACUAGCUUUUCAUGUAAUUAAUUAUUAAUAUUACUUCAA